rnacentral:lncRNA from 1 species
GACGAUAUAGUGUUGAUAGAUGAAACUCAGGAAGGGGUAAAUGCGAAGCUUAACCUUUGGAGAGAAGUGUUGGAAUCUAAAGGUCUUCGCCUAAGCCGAUCAAAAUGAGUUAGGGGUGAGGAUCGGAGAUCAGGAAAUACCAAAGAGCGAUCGUUUUCGCUACUUAGGAUCUAUCUUGCAAAAGAACGGAGAAUUAGAUGGAGAUCUCAACCAUAGAAUACAAGCUGGAUGGAUGAAGUGGAAGAGUGCAUCCGGCGUGUUGUGUGACCGCCGUAUGCCACUAAAGCUCAAGGGAAAAUUUUAUAGGCCGGCGAUGCUGUAUGGCACAAAAUGUUGGACGGUGAAGCAUCAACACGUACACAAAAUGGGUGUAGCGGAGAUGAGGAUGCUUCGUUGGAUGUGUGGCCACACGAGAAAGGAUAAGAUUAGGAAUGAGGAUAUCCGAGGUAAAGUAGGAGUAGCCGAAAUUGUAGGAAAGUUGAGAGAAAAUCGGUUACGGUGGUUUGGACAUGUGCAAAGAAGGCCUACUGACGCUCCGGUUAGAAGAUGCGACUACGGGACAGGGUUCAGGGCCGAAGGGGGUAGAGGAAGACCUAGGAAAACUUUGGAAGAGACUCUAAGAAAAGACUUAGAGUAUUUGGAUCUAACGAAGGACAUGACACAGGACCGAGCACAAUGGUGUUCUAAGAUUCAUAUAGCCGACCCCACUCAGUGAAGAAAGCUUUGGUGUAUUUAACACAAUACGUUGGAAAUGAAGCAAAACUUAUUUAUUGAUAUCUCCGAUAAGUUACAAAUAUGUACAUAUACAUGAGUCAAAAUAAACAAACAAGAGGGAGCCUUCACAAAGGUUGCUUAGGAGAAGUCUCAGCAGUCGGUAGAGCCCCAGAAAGAGAAGGCAUCGGAGGGGGAUCAUUCGGAGCCUCAAUAUUGGACAGAACCCUAGAAGGAAAAGGCAUCGGAGGUUGAUCAUUUGGAGCUUCAUUAUGCGGUACAGCCCCAGAAGAAAAAGGCAAUAAAUGCCUUUGGAACAAACCCACAAACCGCUGAUGAUCAAGUAAAACCUGACCAUCAGAUUCCUUCAUCUGGUCAAGCUUCCUCUUCAUGUUUGUAGCAUAGUUAUGUGCGAGCCGGUGCAACUGUUUAUUCUCAUGCUUGAGCCCUCUAAUCUCCUGUUUGAGACUCAUCACUUCAGCCGUCAAUGAUUCAACUUGGCGGGUUCGAGCAAAUAGGCCUUUAGACACAGAACCUGCACACUGAAUACUCAGAGCCAGAGAAUCCUUAACAGCCAAUUCAUCAGACCGUUUGGAAAGUAGUCUGUUAUCUUUGGGAGUGAGAAGGUUCCUGGCCACCACCGCAGCAGUCAUAUCAUUCUUCAUCACGGAAUCCCCAACGGUAAGAGGACCAGUAGGGGAUAAGAAGGAUGGGCGCUAUAUGUUGUCUGGAGAAGGUGUGGCUGCCUCUUCAACAAGGUUCAAGUCAAAAUGACGGUCGGAGGGGCCAGACAUUUUCAAAGGUGUUGAAGAGAGAAGAGGUCGGACAAAUCAAGAUCUUAGAAGUGCAAGAAGGGAGCUUCUACUGGUGAAGAUUCAAGUGUGCUUUGAAACUUAAUGCCAGCCUCUAUAAAAAUCUGCACUCGACGGAGCUUCAGAAAUCGAAGAGGCGUUUGUUUUCUCAAAAGCUAGGCUGCUCAGAGACCACGAGGGCCGAUCUCAGAAAUCGAAGAGGCGUUUGCUUUCUCAAAAGCUGAGCUGCUCAAAGACCACGAAGAUCGAUCUCAGAAAUCGAAGAGGCUUGCUUUCUCAAAAGCUGGGCUGCUCAGAGACCACGAGGGCCGAUCUCAGAAAUCGAAGAGGCACUUUUUAGCCUUGUCAGCACCUGUCACAUGCACUCAGCUUUGCUGAAAUUACGGGCAUUCUGUUGAAAAUUUCUGAUGAAGUAGAAAGCACGUGAAUCUUACUGUUCAAUCAUCCACUUUUCACACGCACCAUCAGCUCAGGGGUACCACAGAUAACUUUGCCAAAGAUCUCUGACAAAGUUUAGACAUGUGAAGCUUGCAGCUCCCACUACAUCGCUAUGACCAAGAAGGGUAAAAGAAUAGCAAAGAAACAGCACUAACAAAGUUUAGACACAUAAAUUUUGAAGGUCUAGUUAUCAUAUUAUUACCCACAAGGGUAAAGGAACAGCACCACUGCUGGAUAAUUGGAAAGUCCCUGUGUGUCAACCUCUGUGCUCCGUGGCAAGGUAGACUAGCAAACAUGCCCUACCUUUACUCACUUUCAAGAAAACACUCCCAACAAGAUUGCUUGCUCCAAAAUCGAAGAGGCACCGUUCUCCGAAUCUCGAGAGCCAAAACUCCCAACAUGAUUAAUUUCUCAAAAACCGAAGAGACACCGCUCUCCGAAUCUCGAGAGCCAGACUCCCAGCAGGAUUGCUCUCUCAAAAAUCGAAGAGGCACCGUUCUCCGAAUCUCGAGAGCCAGAUCCCCGACAGGAUUGCUUGUUCAAAAACCGAAGAGGCACCGCUUUCUCGAGAGCCAGAUCUUCUUGGAUAAAGCUUGUCUGUAAUCUUCACACGCAACAUCAGCUUUCCAGAUACCACAGAUCACUUUUCAAAGUGCUCUGACACACGUGAAGCUGGCAGCUCCCACUACCGUGCUAUGACCAAGUAGGGUAAAGGAAUAGCAUUACUACUUGUUGUUAGGGAGACUCCUAUAUAUGUCGACCUCCAUCCUCAACGGACAGGCAGACCUGCAAAAAUGCUCAACCCUUCCUCAUAUCUGAGAGGGCACUCCCAACGAAGCCUCUCGAAAUACUCAGCUUUCUUUUCCCCCGAUAAUACCUCUGCAAACAAGCUACACCAGAGCAAGAAUAUCUCAUAUCAUCAGGGUUAAAAGCAAAGAGUAUCCCAUUAUUCAUGCUUUUUCCCUGUCUUUUCCUUUGGCCUUGUUCUUACCUGCAAGACAAGGAGAAAGAGAGCAAUCAGUCAGCACUUGGAAUCAAGCUUCCAGUCAGGAACUGACUGCCUGGAACCCUUUACCUGAUUACUUACCUGGCAUUGCUCUCGAGUACACAUCUUCAACAUCUUUUGCUUCCAGAGAAGAUACCACAUUUGCCUGAGGAACCGAUAGGGAAAGUGAGAAGGAUACAAGGAAGCAUGUGGAGACAAGCGUAAUAGAACGCGUGCCGAUACAUCCACUACUUUGUCAACAGCAAAAGUAUCCCAUAUCAGCAGGGUCGAACGUACUCUAGAUUUGAUGGACUUGUUUUGACCUUCAAAUUCUUCAGUCGGCCUUAUACUCCGGAGGAAACCAGAAAACCCUCCCGCCCAGUUCAAGAAUAAGCCUGUGGAAAGUUACUUCUUCAAAAGCAAAAGUAUCUCAUAUCAUCUAUUCUCCUUUUCUUCUCUUUAUCCUUCAUGCUGCCUGCAAGAUAGGGAGAAUGAGAACAAUCAGCCGGAACUCGAAAUCAAACUUCUGAUCUGGGACUGAUUGCUUGGAGCUCUGAUUGCUUACCUUGUCUGUCACCUCUUUCAGCAGAUCCCCUAGCUCGGCGACUUGGGGGACUCCUACUACAUGGUUUGUAUCGCGUUUGACCAAGCCUGAAACUACAAGUAAGCUUCAAGUGAAAUUGAUACAUUACCUUGUGCAUCUCCACUAGUUAAAGAUACCACCCCUGGAUGGAGGAAGAGUACUUCCAGAGAAGAUGCCACAUCUACCUAUGAGACAGAUAAGGCAAGUGAAGACGAUACCACACUUCGGUACUUAGAAGUUUCGUGAUUACGAGAUCAUUCUCCCACAAUAUUUCCUAAUGUCAUUUGUACUAAAUCAUUCAUUUGUACUCACUAAAGGAGAGCUUGAACCUAUGUACUUGUGUAAACCCUUCACAAUUAAUGAGAACUCAUCUACUCCGUGGACGUAGCCAAUCUAGGUGAACCACGUACAUCUUAUGUUUGCUUUCCUGUCUUUAUCCUUUUACAAACUUAUCCACACUAAGACCAGAGCAAUAACUUAAUACUUUCUGUUGUACCAAAGUCCUCACUGAUUUUGUGCAUCAACAAUCCUUAAGUCCUUACCCUUUUGCGUUGGUAAUGGAUGAGUUAACAGGACAUAUUCAAGAUGAUAUUCCUUGGUGUAUGAUUCUCGCAAAUGAUAUAGUGUUGAUAGAUGAAACUCAGGAGGGGUAAAUGCGAAGCUUAACCUUUGGAGAGAAGUGUUGGAAUCUAAAGGUCUUCGCCUAAGCUGAUCAAAGACAGAAUAUAUGGAGUGCAAGCUUAGUGCAAAUGGAGGCCAAAAUGAGUUAGGGGCGAGGAUCGGAGAUCAGGUAAUACCAAAGAGCGACCGUUUUCGCUACCUAGGAUCUAUCUUGCAUAAGAACGGAGAAUUAGAUGGAGAUCUUAACCAUAGAAUACAAGCUGGAUGGAUGAAGUAGAAGAGUGCAUCCGGCGUGUUGUGUGACCGUCGUAGGCCACUGAAGCUCAAGGGAAAAUUUUAUAGGACGGCAAUAAGGCCGGCGAUGAUGUAUGGCACAGAAUGUUGGGCGGUGAAGCAUCAACACGUACACAAAAUGGGUUUGGACAUGUGCAAAACCGAGCACAAUGGCGUUCUAGGAUUCAUAUAGCCGACCCCACUUAGUGGGAAAAGGCUUUGUUGUUGUUGUUGUAGUAGUGUGAAGAAAAAUGUG